rnacentral:tRNA from 1 species
CGGGGUGUACCUCAACCUGGUAGAGGGCCGGCUUUGGGUGCCGGCUGUUGCAGGUUCAAAUCCUGCCACCCCGACCA